UAACAGUGUUACAUUACAGUCUGUGAAGGUCUGAGGGAAAUAUUUGUAUUGUGCGAAGAAGAGGUCACUUACAUGUGCAGGAAACUCAUGCUGCCUGCCGUCUCACCCCCUGCAGUAUUAAGACUCUCUUUUCGAGGCAUUUCUAAAAACAGAAAUCUAAUGAUCAAAGGAUUCUAUUUGCAUGCCACAGCUGAGAGAAAGGGUUGUCACAUUAAAGUGGUUAAUUUAAACUAUAUUCCUGCAGUGCAUGAGUGUAUCAAGCCAAUGCACAAACUACUUGGACUGUUGAUAAUCUUUCCAAAACAUAAAAAUAUUUCAGAAACCAGAUAAAAGAACCCUGAAAGAGGUAGUAUGUACUGAUGCUCAAAAUGUCCCCAGUCUAAUGGGUUUAAACCAGAAACUGCCACAAUAAUAUAAUAGAAACAUCACAAAUGAGAAAUCAUUAUGAAAGUAUUAGCUGUAACGGCUUUGAUGCAUGAUCAGCAGACUGCUGUGAGAUGUUACACUAUUAUUCUUGUGCUGGUGCACCGAGAUGGCUGGCUGGCCAUGGUCGUCACCUUUGGAUGGAUCUUCUAAGUUGAUCCCACAGAUAUUCUACUGGACUCAGUACAGAUCACCUCUGGUGUAGAUGUGUGUGCCCUGUGAUGGACUGGCAUCCCAUCUAGAAUGUAUCCUGUUGCUUACUGGAAUAGGCUCU